UGAAUGGCAAGCUCUGGUGGAGAUGUGGUCUACCCCAAGACACAAGGAAACCUGUGUGUCGAACAAGAUGAAUCGAGAAAAAGUCGUGUACAAUCAGAGAACUGGUUCCAGACACUACACAACACACAUUUUUGCCACUAAAGAAGAGCGUAAGGGUGAGGAGCUGUUUG